rnacentral:rRNA from 1 species
GAUGAACGCUGGCGGCGUGCCUAAUACAUGCAAGUCGAGCGAACGGACGAGAAGCUUGCUUCUCUGAUGUUAGCGGCGGACGGGUGAGUAACACGUGGAUAACCUACCUAUAAGACUGGGAUAACUUCGGGAAACCGGAGCUAAUACCGGAUAAUAUUUUGAACCGCAUGGUUCAAAAGUGAAAGACGGUCUUGCUGUCACUUAUAGAUGGAUCCGCGCUGCAUUAGCUAGUUGGUAAGGUAACGGCUUACCAAGGCAACGAUGCAUAGCCGACCUGAGAGGGGGAUCGGCCACACUGGAACUUAGACACGGUCCAGACUCCUACGGGAGGCAGCAGUAGGGAAUGUUCCGCAGUGGGCGAAAGCCUGACGGAGCAACGCCGCGUGAGUGAUGAAGGUCUUCGGAUCGUAAAACUCUGUUAUUAGGGAAGAACAUAUGUGUAAGUAACUGUGCACAUCUUGACGGUACCUAAUCAGAAAGCCACGGCUAACUACGUG